rnacentral:lncRNA from 1 species
CACGUUGGUUGAAUGUAAGUUCAUUGACCUUCCUGAUCCAGUGUUACGGCCCCGCUCCACUAAAUUAACUGAUGAGUGACCACUCUAUUUUCGUCAGCUCACUUCAAACCCCUGCCCCUCCCCUGUCAGCCCUUUUUGAGGCCCUUGUUUGGAAAAAAAGAGUGCCCCGUCUUAAUUAGACAGGCUCUGUUAUGACUUAGUACUGGUAUGUUUUGUACUUUGCCUAUUUGGGAGAAUGUCACUGGUUUUUAUGGAAAUGAGGACAUUUAUUUAUGGGAGGAUGAUCUGUAAGAGUAUUACGGAUUACAAAGGGAAACACAGACGCCGAGCUACCCAGUGAUGCGAGACUAACAGAUGAGCUAAAUGCCUUUUAUGCUCGCUUCGAGGCAAGCGAUACUGAAGCAUGCACGAGAGCACCAGCUGUUAUGGACUGUGUGAUAACGCUCUCGGUAGCCAAUGUGAACAAAACCAUUAAACAGGUCAACAUUCACAAAGCCCCUGGGCCAGACGGAUUACCAGGACGUGUACUCAAAGCAUGCGUGGACCAACUGUCAAGUGUCUCCCUGACCGAGUCUGUAAUACCAACAUGUGUCAAGCAGACCACCAUAGUCCCUGUGCCCAAGGAAGCGAAGGUAACCGGCCUAAAUGAUUACCGCCCCGUGGCACUUGCGUCAGUAGCCAUGAAGUGCUUUGAAAGGCUGGUCAUGGCUCACAUCAGCAGCAUUCUGCUGGAUACCCUAGACCCACUCCAAUUCGCAUACCGCCCCAACAGAUCCACAGAUGACGCAAUCUCAAUCACACUCCACACUGCCCUUUCUCAACUGGACAAAAGGAACACCUAUUUCAGAAUGCUGUUAAUUGGCUACAGCUCAGCGUUCAACACCAUAGUGCCCACAAUGCUCAUCACUAAGCUAAGGACUCUGGGACUAAACACCUCCCUCUGCAACUGGAUCCUGGACUUCCUGAUGGGCCUCCCCCAGUCUACCACACUGAUCCUUAACACUGGGGCCCCUCAAGGGUGUGUACUUAGUCCCCUCCUGUAUUCCCUAUCCACCCAUGACUGCGUGGCCAAACACAACUCCAACACGAUCAUUCAGUUUGCUGGCAACACAUCAGCGGUAGGCCUGAUCACCGACAACGUUGAGACGGCCUAUAGGGAGGUGGUCAGAGAAAUGGCAGUGUGCUGCCAGGACAACAACCUCUCCCUCAAUAUGAGCAAGACAAAGGAGCUGAUCGUGAACUACAGGAAAAGGCAGGCCGAACAGGCCCUCGUUAACAUCGACAGGGCUGUAGUGGAGCGGGUCGAGAGUUUCAAGUUCCUUGGUGUCCACAUCACCAACAAACUAUCAUGGUCCAAACAUACCAAGACAGUUGGGAAGAGGGCACAACAAAAC